AACACGACAGAAGCAUGGCUUAGGACUCCAACAUCCUCACCUCAUCUUACCUGAGUGUUUUAUUAAAUUUGCUCUUCUCACUGGCAGAAGUGUGAAAUUCAAACUCAUAUGAGGAAAGACAGAGGUCAUAACAAAACAUAGCCACAGCUAAUCUAUAGGGCAAAAAAAAAAAAGCACAAAGGCACUUGCUCUACAGUCCGCAACAGGAAGACUGAAAUUCCUCACAGUCCUAAGGAAGCAAGCUGUCUCUCAUUUACAUUAGAGAUAUCCACACUUUCAAUGAGUUCCUCAGAUGCAGCUGAUGACAGUUCGGUGAUGCCAAGGUUAGGCAUCGGCCAUUGCUGGGGAAAGAACACAAAGAACAAGAAGUUCCUCGCAUGGAGCAUCCUAGAUCACUUGUGUUUUACCAACAAGCAAAGACCAUAUAUCCUGCCAAACAGUUUAGGCAUACCACACAUAAAAGAAAGCAUUUCGGGAA